rnacentral:lncRNA from 1 species
UACUAUCCUAUUAAUAGGAUAGUAGCACUUGUCCUAUCAAAUGGUUCUUGAUGAUAGAGAUUCCGAAUCGAUGAUCGGAGCCGUUGAAGUUGAUCUAGAGUAUUUGAAAUAUCUAGAAACUAAAUUUCAUAAAUUUUAAAAAUUAUUUACAUGAUGAUCAAAGUGUCGUAAAAUCGAUAAUUUUUGACGGCCUAUAUGAGCCGUUUGCUUGUUUAACGGUGUAGAACAAUCCAAAUUGCUUAAAUUUUUGAUAGAAAAUUUUUAUACUAUUUAGAUAAUGUUUGAUAACUCUGAUUAUGAAUUGAGAAAGUCUAACCUCUAUUUUAAAAAGAUUAUUCAUUUAUGACCGUUCAUUUUUUAACUCUUAAGAUGAACUUGAUAAUGAUUUUUAAAUAUUACAAAAUUUGGUUUCUAAACAUUUCUAAUUGUAUAGAUCAAUUUCAACGGUGCCGAUUAUCAAUUUAAAGUUCCGAUCAUUCAAAACAACUUGAUAGGACAAGUGCUCCUAUCCUAUUAAUAGGAUAGUAGCCGGACUCAUAUAUAUAUAUAUAUAGAGUCCAGCUGCUAUGCUAUCGGUAGCACGGGGCCUCCCGUGCUACCAAGUUGUUUUUGAUGAUGCGGCUUCCAAAUCGACGAUCAGCUCCGUUAGACUUGAUCUACAUUAGUAAAAGUAUUUGGAAACCAAAUUUCAUAAUUUUUCGAUAUCAUUUACCUAUCAAACAAGUAGUCUAAAAUUGAACGGUUGAAAAUAAAAAUCUCAUAAAAAAUGAUGAUAAAAGAUUUAAAUUCUAGAUCAGAUAAACUGAUCUUACUCUAAAUAGUGAAAAGAAUUUUCUAUAAAAUUUUCAUCGGAUUUGGAUUGUUUUAUACCGUUAAACUCACAAACACGCCACAUCGGCCAUUAAAAUGGUCAAUUUUGAGAUCUUUUGAUCACUAGUCAAAUGAUGUCGAAAAAUUAUAAAAUUUAGUUUUCAAAUACUUUUAAUAGUGUAGAUCAAGUCUAACGGAGCCGAUCGUCGAUUUGGAAGCCGCAUCAUCGAAAACAG